rnacentral:misc_RNA from 1 species
GCAGUUAUUACACAAAAAUACACUUCAUAAAUUGCCUCUUUAACAUUUAAAAACCAACCAUACAAUUAUUAACCAAGUUUGAUUCAAAAGGUACAUAAAUCAAGGAAAAAACACAACCCUGCCUACUUAAUUUUACAUUAGACGAACAAUUACAAAUUCCAUAACGUACAACAAAUCUAUUUGCUUCUGCCAUCAGUUUUUGGCUUUUUCACAAUUAGGACUGGACACUUCACAUUCUGCGCGCAGUGGUUGCUCACACUCCCAAGAAAAGCCCUCUUUAUGACACCAUAGCCAUGGCUUCCCAUGACGAGCAUGUCGACGUGCAACUUCUCCGCCGCCUGACAGAUCACGUCCCUAGCAUCACCAUGCUCUACAAUCGUCUCCACCUUAACCCCAUUCAAAGCCUCGCAGGCUCUUUUCGCCUUCUCCAUAACACACUGUGCAACUCCAGAGCUGUACCUCUCCAUGGUCGCCAAUAUAUCAGAUGAAAACAAAUACCCUUCAGGGUGAUCUUUCUCACCUGAUCCGUCUAAGGUAGAGUAAACAGCUCGAGGUGGUACUGAGUAGAGAAGGAUAAGGGUAUCAUUGGAAUUCCCGGUGAGUAUGUUCUCUAUACACCAUGAAAGAGCGUAAAUGCUCUCUUCACUCUCAUCUACGGCGAUUAAGAUCUUGCGUUCCUUUGCUGCUACAUCAGCCAUCCUUUGUUUAAUCGACGAUACUAUAAUAUGCUAAUAGUAAUUUGAAUUCAGAACUCACAACUUUGGGAAUUUUUAGCUGAUUUUAGGAAAGUUAAGGGAAUCAAUAUUUAUAGUUUUGUCAGUGGACGGAAUUUGGAGAAUUGGAAGGGACUGGGGGCGGCAGCGGGUGGAUUGAAAAAACUGUUGGCGGUUUGUGGUUUUAAUUAUUUG